rnacentral:rRNA from 1 species
GAUGAACGCUGGCGGCGUGCCUAAUACAUGCAAGUCGAGCGAACGGACGAGAAGCUUGCUUCUCUGAUGUUAGCGGCGGACGGGUGAGUAACACGUGGAUAACCUACCUAUAAGACUGGGAUAACUUCGGGAAACCGGAGCUAAUACCGGAUAAUAUUUUGAACCGCAUGGUUCAAAAGUGAAAGACGGUUUUGCUGUCACUUAUAGAUGGAUCCGCGCCGCAUUAGCUAGUUGGUAAGGUAACGGCUUACCAAGGCGACGAUGCGUAGCCGACCUGAGAGGGUGAUCGGCCACACUGGAACUGAGACACGGUCCAGACUCCUACGGGAGGCAGCAGUAGGGAAUCUUCCGCAAUGGGCGAAAGCCUGACGGAGCAACGCCGCGUGAGUGAUGAAGGUCUUCGGAUCGUAAAACUCUGUUAUUAGGGAAGAACAAAUGUGUAAGUAACUAUGCACGUCUUGACGGUACCUAAUCAGAAAGCCACGGCUAACUACGUG